rnacentral:rRNA from 1 species
CAUGCAAGUUGGAACGGGCUCUUUCGGGAGCUAGUGGCGGACGGGUGAGUAACGCGUGAGAAUCUGCCUUCAGGUCGGGGACAACAGAGGGGAAACUUCUGCUAAUACCGGAUGUGCUGAGAAGUGAAAGAUUUUAUCGCCUGAAGAGGAGCUCGCGUCUGAUUAGCUAGUUGGUAAGGUAAAGGCUUACCAAGGCAUCGAUCAGUAGCUGGUCUGAGAGGAUGAGCAGCCACACUGGGACUGAGACACGGCCCAGACUCCUACGGGAGGCAGCAGUGGGGAAUUUUCCGCAAUGGGCGAAAGCCUGACGGAGCAAUACCGCGUGAGGGAGGAAGGCUCUUGGGUUGUAAACCUCUUUUCUUAGGGAAGAAAAAAAUGACGGUACCUAAGGAAUAAGCAUCGGCUAACUCCGUGCCAGCAGCCGCGGUAAUACGGAGGAUGCAAGCGUUAUCCGGAAUUAUUGGGCGUAAAGCGUCCGCAGGUGGCUUAGCAAGUCUGCUGUCAAAGACCGAAGCUCAACUUCGGGCAGGCGGUGGAAACUGCUAGGCUAGAGGCCGGUAGGGGUAGAGGGAAUUCCCAGUGUAGCGGUGAAAUGCGUAGAGAUUGGGAAGAACACCAGUGGCGAAGGCGCUCUACUGGGCCGGUACUGACACUCUGAGGGCGAAAGCUAGGGGAGCGAAAGGGAUUAGAUAC